rnacentral:rRNA from 1 species
AACGAACGCUGGCGGCAUGCCUAACACAUGCAAGUCGAACGAGACCUUCGGGUCUAGUGGCGCACGGGUGCGUAACGCGUGGGAACCUGCCCUUAGGCUCGGAAUAACUCCCCGAAAGGGGUGCUAAUACCGGGUAAUGUCUUCGGACCAAAGAUUUAUCGCCUUUGGAUGGGCCCGCGUUGGAUUAGCUGGUUGGUAGGGUAAAAGCCUACCAAGGCGACGAUCCAUAGCUGGUCUGAGAGGAUGAUCAGCCACACUGGGACUGAGACACGGCCCAGACUCCUACGGGAGGCAGCAGUGGGGAAUAUUGGAAAAUGGGCGAAAGCCUGAUCCAGCAAUGCCGCGUGAGUGAUGAAGGCCUUAGGGUUGUAAAGCUCUUUUACCCGGGAUGAUAAUGACAGUGCCGGGAGAAUAAGCUCCGGCUAACUCCGUG